ACCACCACCACCUCCACCUCCACCUCCUCCAUUCUAUGCAUCUCCACCAUCACCACAACCAUAUCUUCCUUCAUCACAUGGAGCACCUCCACGACCACCACCACCUCCUCCUUCAAUGUCUAAGGCCGCACCAGCCCCACCACCACCACCAUCAUAUCUUCCUGCGUCAAGUGGAGCAGCUCAACCACCACCACCUUCAAUGUCCAAGGUCCCACCACCUCCACCUCCACCUCCACCGUUCUAUGCAUCUUCACCCUCACCACCACCAUAUCUUCCUACAUCACAUGGAGCACCUCCACCACCUCCUCCUUCAAUGUCUAAGGCCGCACCAGCCCCACCACCACCACCACCAUCAUAUCUUCCUGCAUCAAUUGGAGCACCUCCACCACCACCACCACCUCCUUCAAUGUCUAAGGCCCCACCACCCCCACCCCCACCAUUCUAUGGAGCUCCACCACCACCACCACCAUCAUAUCUUCCUGCAUCAAGUGGAGCACCUCUACCACCACCACCACCACCACCUCCUCCUUCAAUGCCACCCCCACCUCCACCAUUCCAUGGAGCUCCACCGCCACCUCCACUAUAUCUUCCUGCAUCAACUGGCGCACCUCCACCACCACCACCUCCUCCUUCAAUGUCUAAGGCACCACCCCCACCACCCCCACC
rnacentral:lncRNA from 1 species